AUUGAACGCUGGCGGCAGGCCUAACACAUGCAAGUCGAGCGGCAGCGGAAAGUAGCUUGCUACUUUGCCGGCGAGCGGCGGACGGGUGAGUAAUGUCUGGGAAACUGCCUGAUGUAGGGGGAUAACUCCUGGAAACGGUAGCUAAUACAGCAUAACGUCGCAAGACCAAAGAGGGGGACCUUCGGGCCUCUUGCCAUCAGAUGUGCCCAGAUGGGAUUAGCUAGUAGGUGGGGUAACGGCUCACCUAGGCGACGAUCCCUAGCUGGUCUGAGAGGAUGACCAGCCACACUGGAACUGAGACACGGUCCAGACUCCUACGGGAGGCAGCAGUGGGGAAUAUUGCACAAUGGGCGCAAGCCUGAUGCAGCCAUGCCGCGUGUAUGAAGAAGGCCUUCGGGUUGUAAAGUACUUUCAGCGGGGAGGAAGGUGUUGAGGUUAAUAACCUCAGCAAUUGACGGUACCCGCAGAAGAAGCACCGGCUAACUCCGUG
rnacentral:rRNA from 1 species